CUGCGAUCAGAGCUCGGAUGGCCCCGGAGGCGAUGUCGCGCUUUCUGGAAGGAGCCAUGGAUGCUGCAGAACAUGAAAGGAGGGACAAACUGGCUUAGGUGGCAUCCAAACAGUGAGGCUACUUGGCUGAGUGUCACUGUGAGAUUACUUGAGGAAUGAACAUGUGAAAGACAGGAGACCCAAGAGCCCUGUGCCAAUCAGAUGUGUGGGUGAAAAUACUACAGACCUCACAAUAGAAAUCAGUGCUCUCCUGAAGUUGCCUGUGAGACAUGAAUGGACAGAAGAGAUCUGCAUGUUUGGUCUUUGGAAAGCUGAGAGGAGGUGGUGAUGUUUGGGGUGAGCAGGCUCAAGACUUGGAUGGGAUGCUUUUUCUCUGCUUUCUCCCUUUUAAAACUUAAUAGAUUCCUGGCAUUUUAGCUUCAAAUAGGGUGUUCCAAUGAAUGGUGGUGGUUGUGAGGAAUGUCCACAAUUUCAUUAGAGCUGUCAUAUACGGCAAUUCCAUUCUUCAGGGAGAAAGAAGGUGGAGAUUUGGCUGCACAAAUGACCUCAGCUGAGUUCCUCAUCCCUUCAGAAGCCAGAAGGACAUGAGCAUCUCCGUGCAGACUACUGAUAUGGAGCUCUGACAUGAUCAUAAGUGCUUGCCAGGGUGCUUGAUUCAAUGUGUUCAGAUCACAGACUUGAGCUUCUUCAUUUCCUGCAUCCUCUUGGAUGGUAGUGCUAGUGUCUGUGGUGGUGAAGAUGGAGGGUGGAAGAUGGAGGCUCUGGGAUCUGCCUGUGGUAUUGUUGAGCCCACUUCUGAGUGUGUCUGGGUGGGUCACAGAGGUGUGACUAUGGGAUCUAUAUCUGGUCCCUCACCCUUUCUUCUUUGGCAAUACUCUGCUUUCCAGCUGCCUUGAAGGAAGCAUCUUUCCCUGCUGUGCCCUUCUGGCAUGGUAUUCUUGCCUUAGAGCCAGGUAAUUAUGGACUGAAUCCCCUGAAAUUGUGAGCCACAUUAAGCUUUUCUUCCUUAAAACUCUGGGUGUCAGUUGUUGUAUUCAGCAAUGGGAAAGCUGACUAAUAGUGCGUUACUAUCUCUUGAGAAUGCUAGGUACUAUUGUAUUUAUGCAGCUUCUCAGAGCUCAUAACAAUCCCUUCAGCUGCAAGGAAAAGGCCUUCAUGAUCAUGAAAUUAGCAUCUCCAUUAAGACAGGGCCUGCUGCAGUAUGGAGCCUGAAUGUCCCUAGUAGCUUGUGUGUCAAGGCUUGACUCCAGGCCCAUAGUGCUCCUGGGCAGUGCUGAACUUUUCAGGGUAGGUCCUGCGGGAGGGUAUCGGCAUCCUGGAGGUGUGCCUUCGCAGAGGACACUGGGACCUGCACCUUUCUUCUUUCUUUGCAUUUCUGCCACCAUGGGGUGAAUAGGCCUCCUCUACUACAUGCUGCUGCUGUGAUGCAUAGCCUCACCACAGGCCCCAAGGCACGGGACAACAGGCCAUAGAUCAAAACCUUUGAAACCAUGAGCCAAAAUAGUCCUUUCCUCUUUUUAAGUUGAUUAUCUCAGGCAUUUUGUCACAGGAGUACAAAGCUGACUAAUAUGGGGCCUCAUGACUUAUUUAGUGCUAUAGCCAGUAUAUACCACACUGCACAUUGAUUCAAAUGCACAUUGCAUUUAAUAAAUAGCUGAUUUACUGAUUCCACAAAUGUGAUGAAGUGUACCGAAAAACCAGAAUAUUU